rnacentral:rRNA from 1 species
CAAACGACUCUCGGCAACGGAUAUCUCGGCUCUCGCAUCGAUGAAGAACGUAGCAAAAUGCGAUACCUGGUGUGAAUUGCAGAAUCCCGUGAACCAUCGAGUUUUUGAACGCAAGUUGCGCCCGAGGCCUUCUGGCUGAGGGCACGCCUGCCUGGGCGUCACGC